AAUACCCCUAAAGGCAUUGCAGGUGUGGCUGCUGUGUCACAUGUUCAUCAGUAGGUGACAGAAAGGAGAGGCUACAUCUAUGCUUAGUGUUCUGAUCUAGGAACAUCUGAAUAUUAAUAACCUAAUAUU